ACAACCCCGUGGGCUGCGGGCGGUUUCUCUCUCCUAAGUGAAGACUGGUCCAUUGGUGUCUGUGACGAUCUCCAAAGACAUACCUUGGCUGACCACAGUUCACAGUUCUUGGAGCAGAGGGACUUGUCAUGUGCUUCUCUGGAGUCCUCGAUUGAUAAAGUGUGGCCUCUGGC